rnacentral:rRNA from 1 species
GACGAACCCUGGCGGCGUGCUUAACACAUGCAAGUCGAACGGUAAGGCCCUUCGGGGUACACGAGUGGCGAACGGGUAAGUAACACGUGGGUGAUCUGCCCUGCACUUCGGGAUAAGCCUGGGAAACUGGGUCUAAUACCGGAUAGGACCACUGCCUGCAUGGGUGGUGGUGGAGAGCUUUUGCGGUGUGGGAUGGGCCCGCGGCCUAUCAGCUUGUUGGUGGGGUGAUGGCCUACCAAGGCGACGACGGGUAGCCGGCCUGAGAGGGUGACCGGCCACACUGGGACUGAGAUGCGGCCCAGACUCCUACGGGAGGCAGCAGUGGGGAAUAUUGCACAAUGGGCGCAAGCCUGAUGCAGCGACGCCGCGUGAGGGAUGACGGCCUUCGGGUUGUAAACCUCUUUCAGCACCGACGAAGCGCAAGUGACGGUAGGUGCAGAAGAAGGACCGGCCAACUACGUGCCAGCCGCCGCAGUAA